rnacentral:rRNA from 1 species
UACAGAGGGGGCAAGCGCUGUUCGGAAUUACUGGGCGUAAAGGGCGCGUAGGUGGCCUUCUAAGUUGAACGUGAAAUCCCUGGGCUCAACCCAGGAACUGCGUCCAAGACUGGGAGGCUUGAAUCCGGGAGAGGGAUGCGGAAUUCCAGGUGUAGCGGUGAAAUGCGUAGAUAUCUGGAGGAACACCGGUGGCGAAGGCGGCAUCCUGGACCGGUAUUGACACUGAGGCGCGAAAGCCAGGGGAGCAAACGGG